GAUGAAGAACGCAGCGAAAUGCGAUAAGUAAUGUGAAUUGCAGAAUUCAGUGAAUCAUCGAAUCUUUGAACGCACAUUGCGCCCGCCAGUAUUCUGGCGGGCAUGCCUGUUCGAGCGUCAUUACAACCCUCAGGCCCCCGGGCCUGGCGUUGGGGAUCGGCGGAGCCCCCCGUGGGCACACGCCGUCCCCCAAAUACAGUGGCGGUCCCGCCGCAGCUUCCAUCGCGUAGUAGCUAACACCUCGCGACUGGAGAGCGGCGCGGCCACGCCGUAAAACACCCAACUCUUCUGAAGUUGACCUCGAAUCAGGUAGGAAUACCCGCUGAACUUAAGCAUAUCAAUAAGCGAGGA
rnacentral:misc_RNA from 1 species